rnacentral:rRNA from 1 species
GUGAACGCUGGCGGUGCGCCUAAAACAUGCAAGUCGAGUGUGCCCGCAAGGGUAACACGGCGAACGGCUGCGUAACACGUGGGUACCUACCCCAGACUCAGGGAUAACCCGCCGAAAGGCGGGCUAAUACCGGAUGGUCCCGCAAGGGUAAAGCUUUUGCGGUCUGGGAGGGGCCUGCGGCCUAUCAGCUAGUUGGUAAGGUAACGGCUUACCAGGGCUAUGACGGGUAGCUGGUCUGAGAGGACGACCAGCCAGAAUGGAACUGAGACACGGUCCAUACUCCUACGGGAGGCAGCAGUUAGGAAUCUUCCGCAAUGGGCGAAAGCCUGACGGAGCGACACCGCGUGAAGGAUGAAGGUCUUUUCGAUCGUAAACUUCUGUUCUGAGGGACGAAAUUUUUGACGGUACCUCAGGAGAAAGCACCGGCUAAUUCUGUGCCAGCAGCCGCGGUAAUU